rfam:Gorilla gorilla gorilla genomic chromosome, chr4, whole genome shotgun sequence
GCCAGGUGUGGUGGCGCGCACUUGUAAUCCCAGCUACUUGGGAGGCUGAGGCAGAAGAAUUGCUUGAAUUCAGGAGAUGGAGGUUGCAGUGAGCCAAGAUUUUGCCACUGUAUUCUCCACCCUGGAUGACAGAGCGAGACUCUGUCUCAA